rnacentral:misc_RNA from 1 species
CCGAGUGAGGGCCCUCUGGGUCCAACCUCCCACCCGUGUUUAUUUACCUUGUUGCUUCGGCGAGCCUGCCUUUUGGCUGCCGGGGGACGUCAGUCCCCGGGUCCGUGCUCGCCGGAGACACCUUAGAACUCUGUCUGAAGAUUGUAGUCUGAGAUUAAAUAUAAAUUAUUUAA